rnacentral:rRNA from 1 species
UGUGCUUGCACGCGAGUGGCGAACUGGUGAGUAACACGUGGGAAAUCUGCCCAGAAGCAGGGGAUAACACUUGGAAACAGGUGCUAAUACCGUAUAACAACAAAUCCGCAUGGAUUUUGUUGAAAGGUGUUCGUAUCACUUCUGGAUGAUCCCGCGGCGUAUUAGUUAGUUGGUGAGGUAAAGGCCCACCAAGACGAUGAUACGUAGCCGACCUGAGAGGGUAAUCGGCCCCAUUGGGACUGAGACACGGCCCAAACUCCUACGGGAGGCAGCAGUAGGGAAUCUUCCACAAUGGACGAAAGUCUGAUGGAGCAAUGCCGCGUGAGUGAAGAAGGGUUUCGGCUCGUAAAACUCUGUUGUUAAAGAAGAACACCUUUGAGGUAAUUCAAGGGUUGACGGUAUUUAACCAGAAAGCCACGGCUAACUACGUGCCAGCAGCCGCGGUAAUACGUAGGUGGCAAGCGUUGUCCGGAUUUAUUGCGCGUAAAGCGAGCGCAGGCGGUUUUUUAAGUCUGA